AACGAACGCUGGCGGCAUGCCUAACACAUGCAAGUCGAACGAGACCUUCGGGUAUAGUGGCGCACGGGUGCGUAACGCGUGGGAACCUGCCCUUAGGUUCGGAAUAACUCCCCGAAAGGGGUGCCAAUACCGGAUAAUGUCUUCGGACCAAUGAUUUAUCGCCUAUGGAUGGGCCCGCGUUGGAUUAGCUAGUUGGUAGGGUAAAAGCCUACCAAGGCGACGAUCCAUAGCUGGUCUGAGAGGAUGACCAGCCACCCUGGGACUGAGACACGGCCCAGACUCCUACGGGAGGCAGCAGUGGGGAAUAUUGGACGAUGGGCGAAAGCCUGAUCCAGCAAUGCCGCGUGAGUGAUGAAGGCCUUAGGGUUGUAAAGCUCUUUUACCCGGGAUGAUAAUGACAGUACCGGGAGAAUAAGCUCCGGCUAACUCCGUG
rnacentral:rRNA from 1 species